rnacentral:lncRNA from 1 species
CCAAGAUGAUAAUCGAGAAGAUGAGAUUAUACGAUAAUUUAGACAUUUUUUUCUAUAUUCUUCCUGGGAUUAAGAAGAGAUUAAUAAUUUUCUAUUUAUUAAUUACACAUAAUCUUUUGAGAUAAGAGAAGAGAGGUUUGCUUUAAACCAAAAACAAAAAAAAAAAGACAAAAAAAGAGAAGAGAGGUUUGGUCUUUUGGUGAGAGAGAAUUGCUCUUUAUCUUCCACGCUCAUGGUCUUAAUUUAUAAUUCAACACUUUUUUUCUUCUCUCUAUUUUCCGAUUCUAACCUUCUUUUUAAUUUUGGAGCUGUUUAUUAUUGUAUCUCCUAUAUAUUAAAAGAAAAGCACUACAACAUAUUUUUGUAGCCACAUGUCAUCACCACAAUCAUUAUUAGAAUUAUUAGAAAAAUAUGUUGGUCCAUAUAUAAAUAUAUAAUAAGCUUUUUAUUAAACUAACCAUAAAUUAAUCAUAAAUGUUCUUCAUUGUUUCCUUAACUAAAAAUCACGGAAUUACCUAAUAUGGCUAAAGUAUAUAUGACAAUUAAUGAUUUUGAAUAAUAAAGAUUUGAUAAAAAUUACUCUAUUAUCUAUCAAUUUUUAAAAUUUUAACAUAUUAAAAUAAAUUAAACAACCACGUUAACUAUAUAAUAAAAAUUUAGAUUUUUUUGUAUAUGUUAGAUUUUGAAUUUUUAAAAACGAAUAUAAAUGACUAAAGUUGUUAAAAAUCUCACAUUGAAAUUUUUGUGAUCCAUGUUUAAAAUUUAUAUUAUAACAAGAUGCAAAUGAUUACGAAAUUACAGAAGCAGGAAAUCUCAUUUAAUAAAUAUUAUAUAUAUGUAUAUCAAUAUUUUUUUUAAAUAAAUUAUAUACCAUUUAAAAUACAUAAGUAUUUUAAUUUCGAAUUUGCUUUGAAUUUUUUUGAUAAACAUUUUGAACAAUUAUUGACAACUUAAUAUUUAGAUUUUAAAAUUUGAAUUGAAUGUUUUUAAAAUUAUAAAUUACUAAAACUAUUAAACAUCCCACAAAUUAUUUACUAUUAUCAUUGAUUUAAAAUUUUUGUUAUAAAGAAAUACAAACGAUCAAAAAUAAUAUGAGGAUAAAAUAUAUUUUAACAGAUGUCAAUAUUAAAAAUAUACUAUAUAUCUAUGUUAAUAUCAUGUAAACUUAAUUUUAUAACAUAUAAAGUAGAAAAAGUGUUUGUCUCAAUUAAUAAAAUUUAUUUAAAUAUUUGUACCAAUUUAAUUAUAUACGUAAUAGUUACUAAAAUUUUAAUUAUUUAAUAUAUAUUUAUUAUUUCAUAAUAUGUAAAAAAUAUAUAAUACUUAAAAAUAAUUUAUAUAUAAUAUUCAUCCCGCCCAAAUGCGCGGGUCUUAACCUAGUACUACUACUAUUAAAUAGUACAGUAGAGACAUUUAAAUGUGUAUUUAAGGAAUAACCAAUCAAGAAAAUAAAUUUGAAUCAGACAGAGAAUAAAUUAUCCGACAAAUUUAUUAUUAAAAAAUUAGAAUGGCUAUAUUUAGAGAGUUAGAUUAUUUAGAAAAAAUUAUAAUCUAAAUUGAACUAAAGAUAGUCUCAGAAUGAACAUAAGACCAUUGUAGUAAAAUACCAAACAAAAGUUAUUAUCAAUUUGAUUAUUAUCUAAUCUAAAUAUAUUUGAUUAUUAUCUUUCUAAAACCUAUAAACUUGAUACAGAGAAGGAUAGUACCCCUAAAAUAUAAGACAAAUUAAACUAAAAAAUGUUUGUCUAUUAAUAACUAAAAUCCUUAAUUAGUCUGCGUUUCACUCGUCAAAUAAGACCAUUGUAGUAAAUACCAAACAAAAGUUAUUAUCAAUUUCAGUCUCCUACGUUGCAUUUUCUUCCGAAAUGGAUUAUCAACAUGAAACCCUCUAAUCUGAUACAAAUGCGUGGUUGUAAAAAUAUUAUAAGAUUUUUUAAAAUUAGUUGUUUGGAGCCAAAUGUUUGAUGAUUUAAGUGAUUUUGGAUCUAAAAUUUUAUGAGUGAAUAUUAUUUGAAGAUCUCUUAUCAUUCCCCAAGAGCAUUUGAGAUUUUUGUAAAGUGAAUUAAUGAUGAUAAAAGAUCUGGAUCGGCAAUGAGUAUAGCAAUGGAAAAUAAUGGAAAUUGAAUCAAAGUAUGAUAUCCAAUGGUUAAUAACAAUGAUCAACUGCAACAUAUUGAAUGUAUACGACAAGAUUCUUCAACUAAAACUUCCAUAAUGUAGAGAUAGGUACAUAAUGAUAAUUAACCGGCCAGUGGCUUAUUGUUUCUAAAAAUUGUUUGAAAUUCGAUUACUAUAGCAUUCAGUUUUUUUUUUGUCUAGUUAAUUAUGCUAUUACAAAUUAUAAGAAACAUUACAUAGACGAUAUUACAGCCGACAAUUCUACAUGUCUUAUAAGGAUUCACGCCUGAUAGCAUCACCCUGAGUAAUCCUCUGAGAUCCAUUCCUGACGGUACUCUUUGUGCCACGCUGAAGAUCUUUUGUAAGCAUUUUCUCUAAUUUUCUGUAUAACUCUCCUUCUCCGGGAACUGAAAUCUAGACCUCUUCUUGUAGAAAUUGCGUUGUCUGGAGUUUAAACUCCAGACCUGGGUGUAGAAGCCUUUAAACCUUGACCACUAGGCCACGGUGCUUCCACGAAAGAAAAAAAAGUUGAAAAAAUUAUAAAAAACUAAUAUAGCAUUCAGUUUACUAAAACGUUACUCGCAUAAUGGUAGUAUAAGGAAGUUGGUACGAAAUAUUAUUUUUUUCAAAUAAAAUUUCCAAAGACUAACUCGGAUUUAAGAUCCGUAAUUUACAUAGUAAUAAAAAUACUACGGGUUUUCUCAAUUCACUAGAAUAAUUUUUGUAAUUUCUAAUAUGAUGUAUAUAUGUUAAACCAUUUGCUGUAAUAUGUUAUAUUGGGAGUUUUUUCAAUUAUUAUUGGGAGUUAGGACGUGUAUUUUUUGUUUCCUUCGUUUGUGUUUUAACGAAGUUGUGCAUUUAAAUGUUUUGGUUGUAUAUAUAGAUCGUUACAUACAAAAUGUUAAGAUUGUAAAACCAGUUACAAAAAAAUUGUCUAAGAUUUUGUAAUAGAAAUGAUAAUAUGAUAAAGCGGAUAUCUACAAUCAAGUGGUGUAUAUGCAUUUAAACGGCUCUUUCCUUCUAGAUGUUCGUCUACAAUUAGAGUAAAAUUAUCUAUUAGCUUAUAAAUUAUAUAACUGGUGUACUCUAUGUGUGGUGACGUGUAUAAAAAGGUAGAUUAGUCAUUUCCGCUGAUGAGAACCAAACUGAAUGACAUGACAAUUAAAACCGGCUAAACCUGCAUCUCUUAUCUCUUAGCCCCGGUCUCUUAGCCGGUUUUUAAGAGCUUUGGGAGACUAUAGAAGCUCAUCACCAUAGAUUUCUCCCACAAUAUGUUCGACAACAGUAUUUUUCCUUUUCUGACUGCUGCUACAUCGCUCAGGACUCUGUAUCUUGAGUCUAAUUAUAUGGAAGGUGUCUUCCCUCCUCAAGGUUAUACAUUUCUUCUAAAUGUUAUUAGAAUUUUUUUGUAUUAUAAGUAAAUGGGAGAUGAUCUUGACGGUUUCUUGUUUUGGUGUGUGGCAGGACUUGCAAACAUGAGAAACUUGAAAGUGUUAAACUUGAAGGACAACAGUUUCAUCUUCUUGUCCGGUCAAGGUAUAUAUAUGUUAACAAAACCUAGUUUAGUUUUGUCUUUCCAGAACGAAACAAGAACUAAAAGAAACUUUGAGAUGCAGGUUCAGCCGGUUUUAGAGAAUUAGAAGUACUGGAUCUCAGUUUCAAUGGUGUCAAGGCAUGAUUAACUUUGAGAUGCAGGUUUAGCCGGUUUUAGAGAAUUAUAAGCGGUUUUAAAGGGUAUGAUUAACCCCAGUUUUUUAGUUGGGGUUCUUAACUCAUGAUUUGAUAUUUUUUUUUUUUACAUUUUUCGGCUAAGAAACGGCUCUUAUAUCUCUUAUUUAAAAGACGGUUCUUAAUUUUUCUUAGUUAAAAUCUAAAAAAGCUAAGAACCGUUUCUUAGUCGAAGCUAAGAACCUGAGUUAAGAAACUGGGAUUAAUCAUGGUCUAAGUAUGCAAUUGAGUAUGAAAUGGAUGUCAAAGAGUCUUUUAUCUGUAUUCCCAUGCAUACUGUACAUUAUAGCCGGUCAUCUUCAUCACUAAAAUAUGAUUUUAUAUAUAAAUAUAUAAAUUUACGUGUAGUUGCUCAUAUUAGGUAGUUACACUAAUCAACACUUUAAAUUAAUGGAAAGGUCGUUGACAACAAAUAAUAUAAAAGAAGGUAUAGAUUCCAAAACUAUGGACAGCCAAACGUAAACAUUUCCAUGCUCUCUUUUGUACUUUAAUUAGUUAUGAUUUUCUAUCAUAAUACUUUAAUUAGUUAUGUUUCCUCUUUCUAUAUAUAUAUCUUUUGUUCACUUUCGCUUUAUAUACGUAUUCACAAUAUUAUUAUGAUAUUCUUAAUAAAUUCAAAGAUUGGGUAGCGUCAUGAACAUAAUAAGAUAGACAAUGAUUAACAUGACAUUACUUUUGUGGUAACAAAUUUCAGGACAAUAUACUGAUACAUAUUACACAUUUGAUUAGCUUUGGUCCAUUUCCUUUAAUUAGUUAGCCGCACCAGAUACGUCAAAUAUUAAGCCAAAAAAAAGAUACGUCAAAUCCCCAUAACACCCAAAUAAUUAUUAUAUGAGUAACCAGUUUUGAUACUCUUAUAUUUAAGCGUGAGCCACUUUAGAAUAAUUCUCAAAAAUACCUAAAUGAACUACCGAGACCAGACAAAAGAAACUAAUCGUUUUAAAAGCUUACGAUCAUACUUCACUUCAAUUGUGCUAAUUAAUCCUUCUAAAUUUAGUUACCAACUCUCAAUAUACAAAUAAAAAUCAUGAUUUAUAUGUGCGACAGGGCUGUAUAUGUAAAUGUGUAGUUAGUUGAUUUGGUUUACCAACCUCUCUACUCUCUAACAUCUAUGCAUGCAUCUGGCCAUCAACUUAUUAGCGCAAAGCAAUUAGAAGACAAAACUAACCCAUGGAUUUUAAUUAUGAGUAAUAACGGUAUAUUAUCAUGAUCUGCUAAUAAAAUAGUUAAAUCGUUUAUGGUGCAUAAAUCGUAGUUGUAUAAGGUUGUCUGUAUUUAUAUUAUUUUGCAAUAUACUUAUUUAUACAAAUCAACCAUAAAUCACAGAUGUGUAAGGUUGUCUGUAUUUUGAUUAUUUUGCAAUCUACUUAUUUAUACAAAUCAAACAAUAAAUUUAUUUACAAGUUUUCUACAAAUAUGAGAACAACAAACUAAUCUAUUUGCUGACAAAAAGAAAAGAAAAGAAAAUAAAAGAAACAUGCAUGUCUAUAUUGUUUGCCAAACAAAAAGCAUACAUGUCAAUAUUAUUACAAUAUAAAAAUACUUUUUCGAAAGUUAUAAAGACACAGUCUUAAACUUACAUAACUACAAUACAAAACUGUGUUUAAUUUUAUAUCGCAAUCUGCUAAUAAGUUGUAUAACGAUUUUUUUUUCAUAAACUAAAGCUAGGAAAAGUUCAAAAAAAAAAAGAAAAAAACUAAAGCUAGGAGACUUGUGAUAUUAUGUGAUACGAGCCGCAAAGAAACAUCAUGUUAAUUUUAAUUAGUUCUGCAUUACGUAGUACGUACCACUAUAUUUUUAGCUUGUGUAGAAUGUAUAAGUUAGUACCUUUCUAAGAACAGUAUAUUGAUCAUAAUGUGAAAAUAUAGUGGUACGUACUACUUAGAAAUGGAGGCUGAAUUUAUUUUCCCUUUGUAUUACUAAGGAAGCAAUCUGUCUUUCUUUUGUCCUUUUCUCUUUUCUUUUAGACAAGAGAGUGAUUCCAUUACCAUCUGUACACACAAUCACUAUUGGCCCGCUGUGUUCAAUUGUUGCUAACUUCUGCAUUCAACAAAUAAAAAUAAACGUUUUGUUUUUCUUUCAACAUUAUCUAUCAGAAUAUUCUUAUAGAUAUUGUUUCAUAAACUUCAAGCACAUUUUUCGUUUUUAUAGGAACUAUGGAAACGAAUAUGACAUCAAAGUAAGAAUCACAUAUGAGGUGGAAAGAUAAGGGUCGAAAAAAGAUUUAUAACACAGAGUAUACAGCUUUUCUGGUGUUGCGAUUUUUUAGGGAUGUGUUUUUAUGUCUAAGUUUAUUAAGAACAUUUUCGAAUAACAUACAAAACUUAGUUUAGCGCAAAUAAAUAUGUUAUAUUUACAAAGAACAUCAUAUAUGUAUAAUGUUGUAUAGUUUUUCAGAAACAUAAUCCAAAUAAGUAACCGCUAAUAUCUUUUUUGAGAAAAAAAGUAACCGAUAAUAACAACCAGUUUAGCAAUCCAUGUUGAUACAUAUUCGACCAUAACCUAUUUCUGAAGCAUCAGUUUCAACUAUCAUGUCAGCUUCAGGAUUUGGUAUGGAAAGGCAUGGAAGAGUUUUAACCUUUUGCUUAACUUGUUUGACUAAAAGGGUAUGUUGAUUAGUCCAUGGUUUUGGAUUAUUUUGUAACCGUUGAAAUAAUGGUUGAAUUGUUUUCCUAAGAUUGGGUAAGAAGUCUGAAACAUAGUUUAGACAUCCUAAAAAUCUUUGUAAUUGGGUCUUUUCUCUUAACUCGUCAGGAAAUUUAUCUGCGAAUUCAAUUGAUCUUGAAAUAGGUGUGAUUGUUCCUUGAUAUAUCGGCGGGAAGUUUGAUCAUAGAGCUGUAAAAUCCAUGUUGAUACAUAUUCGAUGAUAUGAAACCAGAACCUAUGCAUAAUCAUCAUCAUCAAACUGUGAUCAUAAAAUAAAAUAAAGAAUCCAUGUGAAAACACACACAUAAAUAGGUAUAUACCGGUGUACUUAUCGAGGAGGAGGCGAACGGAGAGAUCAUCAGGAGAACGGACGAGAUUGGCAUCACCGAAUAGAGGAGAAAGUGAUUCUUCGAAGCUUAAGGUAUUGAGAUUCGUAAACGCUGAUGAUCUCAAACCCAAACACAAGAAGACCAAGAUGAUAAUCGAGAAGAUGAGAUUAUACGAUAAUUUAGACAUUUUUUUCUAUAUUCUUCCUGGGAUUAAGGAGAGAUUAAUAAUUUUCUAUUUAUUAAUUACACAUAAUCUUUUGAGAUAAGAGAAGAGAGGUUUGCUUUAAACCAAAAACAAAAAAAAAAGACAAAAAAAGAGAAGAGAGGUUUGGUCUUUUGGUGAGAGAG